AAACUGCGAAUGGCUCAUUAUAUAAGUUAUCGUUUAUUUGAUAGCACCUUACUACUUGGAUAACCGUGGUAAUUCUAGAGCUAAUACAUGCUAAAAAUCCCGACUCCGGAAGGGAUGUAUUUAUUAGAUUAAAAACCAAUGCCCUCUGGGCUCUCUGGUGAUUCAUGAUAACUUCUCGAAUCGCAUGGCCUUGCGCCGGCGAUGGUUCAUUCAAAUUUCUUCCCUAUCAACUUUCGAUGUUUGGGUAGUGGCCAAACAUGGUUGCAACGGGUAACGGAGGGUUAGGGCUCGACCCCGGAGAAGGAGCCUGAGAAACGGCUACUACAUCCAAGGAAGGCAGCAGGCGCGCAAAUUACCCAAUCCCGACACGGGGAGGUAGUGACAAUAAAUACUGAUACAGGGCUCUUUUGGGUCUUGUAAUUGGAAUGAGUACAAUUUAAAUCCCUUAACGAGGAACAAUUGGAGGGCAAGUCUGGUGCCAGCAGCCGCGGUAAUUCCAGCUCCAAUAGCGUAUAUUAAAGUUGUUGUGGUUAAAAAGCUCGUAGUUGAACCUUGGGCCUGGCUGGCCGGUCCGCCUCACCGCGUGCACUGGUCCGGCCGGGCCUUUCCCUCUGUGGAACCCCAUGCCCUUCACUGGGUGUGGCGGGGAAACAGGACUUUUACUUUGAAAAAAUUAGAGUGCUCCAGGCAGGCCUAUGCUCGAAUACAUUAGCAUGGAAUAAUGAAAUAGGACGUGCGGUUCUAUUUUGUUGGUUUCUAGGACCGCCGUAAUGAUUAAUAGGGACAGUCGGGGGCAUCAGUAUUCAAUUGUCAGAGGUGAAAUUCUUGGAUUUAUUGAAGACUAACUACUGCGAAAGCAUUUGCCAAGGAUGUUUUCAUUAAUCAGGAACGAAAGUUAGGGGAUCGAAGACGAUCAGAUACCGUCGUAGUCUUAACCAUAAACUAUGCCGACUAGGGAUCGGACGAUGUUAUUUUUUGACUCGUUCGGCACCUUACGAGAAAUCAAAGUGC
rnacentral:rRNA from 1 species